UACGUAGGGGGCGAGCGUUGUCCGACUUCACUGGGCGUAAAGCGCGCGUCGGCGGACUUUUAAGUUGGUGGUGAAAUGCCGAGGCUCAACCUCGGAACUGCCUCCAAAACUGGGAGUCUUGAGGUAUGGAGAGGGAAGUGGAAUUCCAGGUGUAGCGGUGAUAUGCGUAGAUAUCUGGAGGAACACCCGUGGCGAAGGCGGCUUCCUGGUCAUAUCCUGACGCUGAGGUGCGAAAGCCAGGGGAGCGAACGGG
rnacentral:rRNA from 1 species